UGACGGUACCUGACUAAGAAGCACCGGCUAAAUACGUGCCAGCAGCCGCGGUAAUACGUAUGGAGCAGAGCGUUAUCCGGAUAUUACUGGGUGUAAAGGGAGCGCAGGCGGCCAUUGCAAGCCAGAGGUGAAAACCCGGGGCUCAACCCCGUGAUUGCCUUUGGAACUGUUUGGCUUGAGUACUGGAGGGGCAGGCGGAAUUCCUGGUGUAGCGGUGAAAUGCGUAGAUAUCAGGAGGAACACCGGUGGCGAAGGCGGCCUGCUGGACUUAAACUGACGCUGAGGCUCGAAAGCGUGGGGAGCAAACAGGAUUAGAUACCCUG
rnacentral:rRNA from 1 species